CUGUGUGUGAUGGGCUGGCAGUGUAUUGUUAGCUGGUUGAAGAUGUGAAUGACAUCAGCUAACAUGCAACUGCUAUCUUAUUGCAUAUACA
ensembl:miRNA MIR449A microRNA 449a